rnacentral:rRNA from 1 species
ACGCUCGACACCUAGAGGCAGCAGUGGGGAAUAUUGCACAAUGGGGGAAACCCUGAUGCAGCGACGCCGCGUGAGCGAAGAAGUAUUUCGGUAUGUAAAGCUCUAUCAGCAGGGAAGAAACUGACGGUACCUGACUAAGAAGCACCGGCUAAAUACGUGCCAGCAGCCGCGGUAAUCUGGAGGCGGGCUGGCAAGGC